rnacentral:lncRNA from 10 species
AGGCCUUGCUAAGCAUGCGUGGUAUCAAGAGGUGCAUUGAGGCGCUCCUGCAGCCUCCUCCCGGCACGGGACUCCUCACAACCCCCAGCCUCAGCUUCCCUGACAGGGCAGGGGCUCACUCUUCUCCACUCCGGGCCAGGAACGCAGCCUGCUUGCCUUUUGUCCAAUUGGGUGCUCUUUCUUUGCGACUGAUACAAAGUGGGAACAAACUCCGCUUCCGGUGAUGCCCGGGCCCCAGGAGGCUGGGGGAGAAGUGCACGCUGCCCAGCCUUCAACCUGAACUGCCCCCAGCACUUCCGAGCCCCGACCCCUGCAGCUGUGAGGGCCCAGGGGCUGCUGGCUGCCAGGACCACCGCAUUGCAGAGGUCUCCCUUGCAGCAAGAGAUCUGGGAGUCCACAACGGCACUUAACCUGCCCUCUGCCCUGGCACCCCAGGGACUCACUGCCAAAGACGCUCACUUUCUGGGAGACACAGACCCCAUCCAGGAAGGGGCACGAGACCACGCUGCAGGAGGCCCCUUCCAAGACCGCCAAGCAUCUGUAGCAGCGCAGACCCUGAGCUGGGAGAGAGGGCAAGGAUUCUCUCGGCACCACGGGAACCACCUUCUCUACUCUCACUGAACACCCCUGGGAUGUAUCUGUAAAAAUUGGAACACCUUUCGGCUAGAAACCAGAGGAAGCCGCUCAUGACACCCGGGAGCUCACAGAGGCUCUGAAGUUUCUAUUCAAGAAAACAACUCCAGAUGGGGCUGAUCUGGAAGACAAGUAACAUCUUCCUUUUCUUGGUGCUCGCCUGCCGUGCUCUAGGUGCUUUUAGAGAUGCUGGUCUGUGUGCUAGGGAAGCGAUGAACCAUACUGUUAGUCUAUUAAACAUAACUCAACCUG